CCCACAGAACCUCUCCCUGUACUUCUCGCCUGUCUUCAUCACGCCUGACGUGCUACUCGGGCGGAAGGACAAACAGCUCCUGGUGCCUGCACAGACGCUCGCCUCCG
rnacentral:SRP_RNA from 1 species